GCAAGUCGAGCGGAUUGAUGGGAGCUUGCUCCCUGAAGUCAGCGGCGGACCGGUGAGUAACACGUGGGUAACCUGCCUGUAAGACUGGGAUAACUCCGGGAAACCGGGGCUAAUACCGGAUAGUUCUUUUCCUCGCAUGAGGAAAAGUGGAAAGGCGGCUUCGGCUGCCACUUACAGAUGGACCCGCGGCGCAUUAGCUAGUUGGUGAGGUAACGGCUCACCAAGGCAACGAUGCGUAGCCGACCUGAGAGGGUGAUCGGCCACACUGGGACUGAGACACGGCCCAGACUCCUACGGGAGGCAGCAGUAGGGAAUCUUCCGCAAUGGACGAAAGUCUGACGGAGCAACGCCGCGUGAGUGAUGAAGGUUUUCGGAUCGUAAAGCUCUGUUGUUAGGGAAGAACAAGUGCCGUUCGAAUAGGGCGGCACCUUGACGGUACCUAACCAGAAAGCCACGGCUAACUACGUGCCAGCAGCCGCGGUAAUACGUAGGUGGCAAGCGUUGUCCGGAAUUAUUGGGCGUAAAGCGCGCGCAGGCGGUCUCUUAAGUCUGAU
rnacentral:rRNA from 1 species